UACUGAGGAAACUGUAUUUCCUGUCAGAGAUGCUCAGUGAUCCUCAGAGCAGAGAGAGGUAUUGCUGUCUUCUGAGUUCUUCAGUGUCCCAACUGAGACAUUCAAACCUCAUUGCAGAGCUCAUGUCUUUCCUCACCAUCAUGUGAGUGUGAGAUUGCUCUGGAUUCUGGUUAUGUGGCCUGCAGCACCUAUAAGAACAAGCUCGUCCAGUGUGCCUGCAUUCCAGCUUCUUAGACUCUACUCAAGUGGACAGAGUAUCAGUGUUUGGCCACUCUUACAGACAC